rnacentral:sRNA from 1 species
UGAAGGAUGAGGAGCAUUUAGGUAAGCAGAGGGCCCAGGGCAGCAUUACUGUAGCUUGACCUAUGUCUUUUCUUCUCUCCAGGAAAAUAUAGUGCUAUACCAAAAGGGCCAAGUCUCUGUUAAAGUCAUUGACUUUGGAUCAAGCUGUUAUGAACACCAGAAAGUAUACACGUACAUCCAAAGCCGGUUCUACCGAUCCCCAGAAGUGAUCCUGGGCCACCCCUACGACAUGGCCAUUGACAUGUGGAGCCUGGGGUGCAUCAUGGCAGAGUUGUACACGGGCUACCCCCUGUUUCCUGGGGAGAAUGAGGUGGAGCAGCUGGCCUGCAUCAUGGAGGUGCUGGGUCUGCCACCAGCUGGCUUCAUUCAGAUGGCCUCCAGGAGACAGACAUUCUUUGGU